rnacentral:rRNA from 1 species
AGUGAACGCUGGCGGUAGGCCUAACACAUGCAAGUCGAAUGGCAGCACAGUAAGAGCUUGCUCUUACGGGUGGCGAGUGGCGGACGGGUGAGGAAUACAUCGGAAUCUACUUUUUCGUGGGGGAUAACGUAGGGAAACUUACGCUAAUACCGCAUACGACCUACGGGUGAAAGCAGGGGAUCUUCGGACCUUGCGCGAUUGAAUGAGCCGAUGUCGGAUUAGCUAGUUGGCGGGGUAAAGGCCCACCAAGGCGACGAUCCGUAGCUGGUCUGAGAGGAUGAUCAGCCACACUGGAACUGAGACACGGUCCAGACUCCUACGGGAGGCAGCAGUGGGGAAUAUUGGACAAUGGGCGCAAGCCUGAUCCAGCCAUACCGCGUGGGUGAAGAAGGCCUUCGGGUUGUAAAGCCCUUUUGGUGGGAAAGAAAAGCAGCAGGUUAAUACCCCGCUGUUCUGACGGUACCCAAAGAAUAAGCACCGGCUAACUUCGUG